GCUCAGGACGAACGCUGGCGGCGUGCCUAAUACAUGCAAGUCGAACGAACUCUGGUAUUGAUUGGUGCUUGCAUCAUGAUUUACAUUUGAGUGAGUGGCGAACUGGUGAGUAACACGUGGGAAACCUGCCCAGAAGCGGGGGAUAACACCUGGAAACAGAUGCUAAUACCGCAUAACAACUUGGACCGCAUGGUCCGAGUUUGAAAGAUGGCUUCGGCUAUCACUUUUGGAUGGUCCCGCGGCGUAUUAGCUAGAUGGUGAGGUAACGGCUCACCAUGGCAAUGAUACGUAGCCGACCUGAGAGGGUAAUCGGCCACAUUGGGACUGAGACACGGCCCAAACUCCUACGGGAGGCAGCAGUAGGGAAUCUUCCACAAUGGACGAAAGUCUGAUGGAGCAACGCCGCGUGAGUGAAGAAGGGUUUCGGCUCGUAAAACUCUGUUGUUAAAGAAGAACAUAUCUGAGAGUAACUGUUCAGGUAUUGACGGUAUUUAACCAGAAAGCCACGGCUAACUACGUGCCAGCAGCCGCGGUAAUACGUAGGUGGCAAGCGUUGUCCGGAUUUAUUGGGCGUAAAGCGAGCGCAGGCGGUUUUUUAAGUCUGAUGUGAAAGCCUUCGGCUCAACCGAAGAAGUGCAUCGGAAACUGGGAAACUUGAGUGCAGAAGAGGACAGUGGAACUCCAUGUGUAGCGGUGAAAUGCGUAGAUAUAUGGAAGAACACCAGUGGCGAAGGCGGCUGUCUGGUCUGUAACUGACGCUGAGGCUCGAAAGUAUGGGUAGCAAACAGGAUUAGAUACCCUGGUAGUCCAUACCGUAAACGAUGAAUGCUAAGUGUUGGAGGGUUUCCGCCCUUCAGUGCUGCAGCUAACGCAUUAAGCAUUCCGCCUGGGGAGUACGGCCGCAAGGCUGAAACUCAAAGGAAUUGACGGGGGCCCGCACAAGCGGUGGAGCAUGUGGUUUAAUUCGAAGCUACGCGAAGAACCUUACCAGGUCUUGACAUACUAUGCAAAUCUAAGAGAUUAGACGUUCCCUUCGGGGACAUGGAUACAGGUGGUGCAUGGUUGUCGUCAGCUCGUGUCGUGAGAUGUUGGGUUAAGUCCCGCAACGAGCGCAACCCUUAUUAUCAGUUGCCAGCAUUAAGUUGGGCACUCUGGUGAGACUGCCGGUGACAAACCGGAGGAAGGUGGGGAUGACGUCAAAUCAUCAUGCCCCUUAUGACCUGGGCUACACACGUGCUACAAUGGAUGGUACAACGAGUUGCGAACUCGCGAGAGUAAGCUAAUCUCUUAAAGCCAUUCUCAGUUCGGAUUGUAGGCUGCAACUCGCCUACAUGAAGUCGGAAUCGCUAGUAAUCGCGGAUCAGCAUGCCGCGUGAAUACGUUCCCGGGCCUUGUACACACGCUCGUCACACCAUGAGAGUUUGUAACACCCAAAGUCGGUGGGGUA
rnacentral:rRNA from 1 species